UUCAGGCUGAAAAAAUCACCAGCAGUGGAACAAGCAGUAAGGCUUACAGGGACUCCCUUGCUUUGGGAAGAGAAGGGAAAAGCCCUUGCUUUGCAUGGGGGAAGACAGAUGGUUAUGCUGGAUCAUUCCACAGCUGAGCAGAUGUUGUAAUUGAGGACCUGAGAAUUCUGCCAAAUUAAUUAGACUCUACCACUCAUCUGGAUACAAAGAACAGUGCUUUGGCAUUUCAGAGGGGUCUCGAGUCUGACUGGUGCCACCCUGCCAGUUGAAAGGUUGCAUUCUUGAUCUCCCACAGAGCCAGAAAAACAGAGUUUGUACUCCUCAUCUCUUCUUCUCAGCCUCCAGUGAGAUUUUAAAUCAUGAACGCCGUUUCAGAUGGGGUCUGCAUAACUACAGCUCCACUUUAAGUGGUUGUCUUUCCUGGUGUCCAUUCACCUUGCACACUGCAGUGCAGAGCACAGACAGCUGGACUGCUUGUGUCAGCUAUGCCCAGGACAGUUGGGUUUGCUUUGUCAGGUGUCCUUAGCUGUCAUUACAGAAAUCAGGUUAAUUGAUGCUGAAAUUUAGACUUUUGCCCAGCCAGAGCCCUAGAAAUACUAGAACUUUUCCUGCCAGCAUCACACCAAACACCAUUCUGCUUGUAAAACCAGCAUCAGACCAGAUUGAUUCAGAUGCAUGUUAGCACUGGGGGAAUCCUCUUGUGCAGCAGGACUGGAUAUAAAUUGCUUGGCUUAGAGAGUGUUAGCAAUGAAUGUUCUUAAUUUGAAAUUGAAAUACCUUUGAUCAUACAACAAAACAAGAUCCUUGAAGAUGAAAGAGCUCUCUGCUGCUACAUAACUGUCAGAGCCUGUGGAAAUAAUGAUUCCUUGCAUUUAGCUGCAGAAAAGAGACUCCAAGCUUGGAGUAAAUGAGUAAUGAUAUCAUCCCUAAAGUGCACACCAAUGCCUCCAAUGGCUCUGUGCUUCACAAAGUGAAGUAUCUUUUGAGAAGACGGAGAUCAGUUGCCACAAAGGGUGGGCAGAAAGGCCACCCCCACCACUGGAACAGAGAACAGUGUAAACACACAGUUGGCUUGGUCUGCCCAGUUUAUGCUUCAGCCAUGAACAAGUCCACUCUAUCUGCCCCUAGAGAUGCAGGGGUGGGGGGAAAAGUAUUCUACAGAAAGGAAAGGAGCUGUGUAGAGAAACACUGAUAACAGGCAUUAAAACAUUUGUCUGUACAAAUUGUUUGCUCUGCUGUAAUGACCCAGUGACACUCAAAGGAACUCAGUGCUGGAAGGGGCAACCUGAUCACCAGUGGCAAAGACAGUUUUCUGCAGGUGUCAACAACCAUUUCAGCACAAAAGGGAUCACAGAACAUCUGAUGCCCUCCCUGGCACAACAUUCCCACUAGCCUGUAUUAACCCAAAAGCCUUGUCACUCCCUGGCUAUCUUCUAAGUUGUCACUACAAGGAAGGGAUGUCAUACUGUAAAAUAGUAGCAGGCUAGCACAAAGCACAGGGCAGGGGCAGCCUGAGUGCUGAAGAAUAAAA